AUUUUUACCUAAACAGGUCAAUGAACGAUCAUUAAAGUUCAUGGCUUAGGUAAGCGACCUCCAUUGCACUUUGGAGAGGUGCUUGCCUAAGGUCUCCCCAGUGUAGGAGAGCCUACAUCAUAAUUUGUGGUAGUGGGUGAGUUUGAAUUUGAAUCGAGCUCAAA